GCUCCACACUUGGCAGCCCCCGCAGGUGCAGGUAAACAGAUGGGACUCCAUCACUGCUGGUCCCUGGUCCUGACGACUUUCGUCUUCGUGCCUUCCAGCCAGACCUCAGCCCUCAGGCCUGGGGCCUGCAGACACCAGCGGCCUCUGAACAAGGGCCUUUGUUCUUCACACUGUCCCUCUCAGGCCUCCCAGCAGGGAUGGCCUUCAGAGGCCAGGAGCACUGUGAAAAUUCCUGUCCCAGAGAGGAGGAGGAGGCAGGAAAGGAGGGGGCAGGUGCAACUUUGACCCAGUCAAGUGACUCUGGGGAAGACAGAUGCAAAGGCCCUAAGGCAGAACCAACUUGGAGUGUUCAAGGAACCUCCAGAACAGCACUAAGCUGAGGACAAGGUGAGUAGCUGUUAUGUUUGAAUAUGAGGUGUCCUCCAGAAGGCCAGGUGCUGACACAGGAGGGGCGCGAUUGCAGUUUGAGAGCUGUAGCCUAAUCGGGAUUAUUGGGUGGCAACUGCAGGCACAUCCUGAAUGGUUGGAGGAGGUGGGUCACCAGGGGUGUGCUUGGAGGCUGUAUAUUAUGUCCCUGGCUCCUUGUGCUGUUUCUGCAUCACCAUGACGUGAAAGGCUUUUCUUUGCUACAUUCUUCUCCUAUCAACCUCUGCCUCAUCUCAGGCCCAGAGCAACCUUCAGCCAACCACAGAACCUCUGAAGCUAGGAGCAAAAAUCAACUUUUCUUCCUCUACCUUGUUCUCAUCAGGUAUUUGGGUCACGGUGACAAAAAAGCCAACUAACAUAGUAGUUGAGGGUAGAGAGGUCCUUGGCCUUGGAGGCCAGUGCAAUUUGUUUUUGCUGUGUGCCCUGGCCACUCCUCUACUUACCAGUGCUGUGGUCCCAGGUGAGCUGCUGCCCAUCACAAAGCCCCUGUUGUCAGGUCAGAUGGAAUCCUUGGGCACACCCAGGGCUGUCUGAGCAGAUGGCUUUGCUUGGGUAUAGUAUCAUCCAGGAUAGGUCCCUUCCCUUUCCUGGCUUGUGACUGGGUUUUAAAGAGGAAGGGGCUUGCCUCUGCCCUUCACCAAGAAAAGGUUUUUGCAAGUUUUCUCCCCAUUUUCCAGAUUCAGCUCCUGCAGGCUGAGGGAGAUGCAUCCUCUGAUGGGAGGUUCUGAAACUGUCCUGGGAAUGAUGACUGGCCUGGGCCUUCACCCUACUCUGCCAGGUCAGAGGCACUGCAUGCACUUGCAUGUGUGCACCCCAGACCCUCUGAUGCCAGCGCUCGCUCACCCUGCCCAGGGACAGGCCCCGGGAAGGAGCCUAAGGGCUGGGAGUCCAAGAACUCCGUGCUACCACCAAGGACCUCAUCAGAGCCUCCAGUCCCUGUGGCUGGCCUGGACCUGGGGGCAUGUGUUCCUGCAGCUCUGACCUCCUUUCCAUACUGUAGGCCCUGAAGAGCCAUAGCCACAGCAACAAGCCUCUCUACAUCUCCAUGGGCCACAAGAUGAGCCUGGAGGCAGCCGUGUGCCUGAUCUGAUGCUGCUACAGGUUCUGGAUCCCAGAGUCCUUGUGCCAAGCGGGGUUCAGCACAUGCUCCUCCACUUCUCACCAUUUGUCAGCUCUGCUGGAGUCACAGAGCAGUGGUUUGAGGACAAGAUGUCCUGGGCUGAGGGCAAGUUCAGGACCCCCUUGCUGGGGAUGCUCAGGCAGCUCAGCCAGAGCAGGGAGGUGUACAGCAAGCAGGAGCCAGUUUCAGAUUGCAGAGCUCACUGCAGGCCCUCAGAGCCAGUGCCGGGCUUCAGAUCUGCCUUUUCCAUGCAGCAGCUCCUUGUAUGCUACCAAGCCUUUGGGCCUUUGGGAGGAGCUGGGGGCAUGGUCUGCACCUGACACCCUGCCUUCCUCAGCACAGCCCUGGAGACUGCUGAGGGGUGGGGCAGAGGGCCCUUGACAUGGGCUUGAAGAGGAAACUGAGAGGAAGGGCAUAGUGGGUGACCCACCUGCAGCCUGCCUCAUCCCCCGUCUUUCAUGUACCAGUUUGCCCCUCAGACUCCAGGCUCCCAGAGUGGAGUUGACAGAGGGUAGGCGGGGCUGGCUGCCAGACCUGUGGGCUCCAUUUCCCCAGUUCCAGAUCAGGAUGGAAGAAUAUGGCCAACAAUGGAGAAGAGGAGGGAGGUGUGCUGUCCUUAAAGAAAUGGAGAAUGGUGAGAAACCAUGUCCCUGAAAUGCCCUGGUCUUUCCCCAAGCCACAUUAAGCCCAGACCAGAAUGUCCAGGUAAAUGCCAUCCAAGGGACACUGACUCUCACACAUGGUAAAUAGGGCAGACUAGUGUUAUCAGUAGGAGCUGAUUUCUUGCACACACACCAGGACAGCUACUUCUUUGGACACUGGUCAUGAAGAAAUCGAAGCAGAUGAAGCACUCUAAUAAUGUUACUGCUGUGGCCUGACCUGCAAACACCUCUCUCGGGGUGACUGGCCUAGUGUUGGGGCCACCAUGGGGAUAACAAGUUCAUCUCAGCCAGCCAGCUGCCACUGGACAAGAAAAUUGGGUAAGAGGAAUCAUGUCCCAACUCACCUCCUCAUGGACAGAUUGCCCUGAUCCCCAAACCUAAGACAGUACAGGAAACACCAAACCCACAGAGCAGGGACCCUCACUAACUGGAUGCAUAUGUGGCAUCUACGGAGCCAAACAGAAAACAUAGGAAUCAGAGAAAUGCAAAUUACAACUACUCUAAGAUACCAUCUCACUCCAGUAAGAAUGGCAGCCAUUAUGAAGACAAACAACAACAAGUGCUGGCGAGGAUACAGGGAAAAAGGUUGCUUCUCCCAUGCCAGCUUUGUUUCAGGAAGUAUACAGUGGUUCCUCAUCUGCAGGGAUGCACUCCAAGACCAUUUGUGGAUAUCUGAAACCGCAGGUACUACUAACCCCCACAUAUAAGUUUGUUCCUCCACAUACAUACCCAGGUGUUGGGAGCAGCAAAUAAAUCAUCACUUUGAACACCAUCAGCUUGGGCAUCGAAUUGCCGCCUCUGGGAAUCUUUCCAUGCAAUGGUGCUGAAAGACACGCCCAUUUGCAGGUGGACGGGGUUAAUGGGGCAGAUUCCAUGCCUGGCAUGGAAUCUAUGGGUUCCAUAGCUCUGCAUUCUAAUACCUGCUGCCAUGGGGUGGAAAAAAUAUAAGUGUGCUCAUUAGCCUUCAGAAGCCAGGUGUCCAGAGCUAGAAGAAGAUAUUCAGCAAGUAGAUAAGCUCCAAUUACCCUAUUCCUGGUGCUUGUCUUCAAUUUUUAUUUAUCUUGAAGAAGUUUUUCUCUCACAGUAAAUCCCUUUGAUGUGUUUUCCUAUAAAUAAAAGGCAGCAGGCUUUAUUACUUUGUUAAGAGAUCGACCCUUAAGAUCUGAUCUACCCACUGUGGCCCCCUGUAAAGCUAUUUUCCUGUCUUUGUCUUUAUUUCUAAAUAUUUCUUCAGACCUUUAAUUUUCUCAGCCAGUUCACAAUUCCGUUUGGUGUACUGAUCCCUUGCUGUGGAAGACACAGCUGAAAGAAAAGUGACCACAACACUCAGAGCAACAAAGAGAUCUUUAUUGCAGCAGUGCAACAGAGGAGAAGAGAGAGAGAGAGAGAGAGAGAGAGACAGAGAGAGACAGAGAGAGACAGAGAGAGUGAGAGAGAGAAGAAAGAGAGAGGGGCCCUGCAGGAGGAAGUUUUUAUAGCCCAAAUAUAAUGAGGUCUCUGGGUCUGCAAGCUGCCUUGUUGGCACAAGGGGGGUUACGUGUUUGGCCUUGAGCAGGGAGUUGAGUGUUCAGCCUUGAGUUGGGGCUUGGGCGUUUGGGUUUGAAGGAAAUAGUUGAUAAAGAACAGAUAGAGGGUUUGAGAGGCCAGGUCAUUCUGCAGCUAACUUUGUUUGGCAUGCCCUGCAGACAACUUACUCAGCCUGUCCUGCACCUAACAACAGCCAUACCUAAGGUAAACUUCAAUUUAUAAAUGAUACACAGUAAGAGUAACAAUGUUAAUAAAACAGAACAAUUAUAAUAACACAGUAAUAAGAGUCACAUGCACUAUAUAAAUUGUUUAUUUCUGGAAUUUUCCAUAUAUUGUAUUUGGACUGAAGUUGACUGGGUACCUAUAACUACAGAAAGCAAAACCAAGGAUAAGGGAGGACUACUGGAUAGAAAUUUAAUUUCUAUACUGAUACAAAAUGUUCAACUCAUCUUGAAUCAUUUUAUUUCAGAAAGCAGUUUUCUGUUAUGAAAUCAGGGAAAGUUUCCUGUUUGGGAAAUUAUUUGUAGCUCCUCCAACCAGCCUCCAAUCUUUUUCUUUAUAUAGUGUAUUGUCUGCGAAACCCUCUUCUUCAUUUACAUCUGAAAAACUGCUAUCAUCCUUCCUGGCCCAGGACAACACCCUCUCCUCCGGGAAACCUUCCCAGCCAGCACCCAGCAGCCCUGGUUCUACCCUGUCCUCUCUCCUCCACUUUCUGAACAUUCCACUUCUGCCCUGGCCACUGUUCCAGGCUUGGUUGUAUGGCUUUCUCUGCAGAGGAUGUGACUCCUCUGUCACCCUGCCUGGCCCAGAACCUUGCACACAAUAGAGAGUAGUUUGUGUUUUGAAAGAGUGGGCUGAAUUAAAGCAGAGAAGGUAUUUCCUUGCGGGAUUUUCAGUGUGCAGGAAGCCUCUGUCUUCCCCAGGGACUGAUAUCCAGUGCCCUCCUGAUCUAGUCCUUCCCAGCCUGGCCUUCAGGCACCUCAGGGUUGGACCCAGCUGCCCCUCCUCUCUGUGUCCCCCACAUUUUACCUCCUCUGCAGACACACCAUUUGCAUCUUCAAUUUUUCUUCAGCUGGCCUUUCCCUUCCUUGAUUGUUUCUGGGGGUAUACAGUGGUCCCCCAUCUGCAAGAGACUUUUCCUUUUAAAGAUCCCUUAGCUCUAACUUUUCUGUGAAGUCUUCCCUAUCUCUAUCUCUUUUAACCCCAGUCAGUUUUUACUGGAAAUACUCCAUUCUUUUUUUUUUUUAUGAUAUAUUAGGUUUCUUAUUUAUUUUGGAUUCGAAGGAAAUACCCCAUUCUUGAGAGUGAUGUUUUCUUUCUUGAAAUGAUCUGCUUUCUCCAGGUAUACUGACAUCUGCUUGAGGUCAGAGACUGUAUAUAUAUUAUGUUAAUCAUUUGACCGUCUUUCAGUCAACAAAGUGCUUGGGAACUGAAGAAGGUACUGACUUGCUCCAGGUCCUAGGAGCCGCAGGGACCGGGAUAGAAAGGCCCCAGCCUAUGUCUCCCUAUCCUCAGGGAAGAUUAAGAGCAGCCCGAGCAGGGCAUGGGUACUUACGAACAUAAUGGGAUGAUGAUGUAGUUUCAAGAGUGGACUCAUUUAAAUACAGCUAGUUCACCAACUAGUCUGUCUUCUCAUUCUUGAAAGAAUUCACAGUAGUGUAUAGAUACUGGUUCCAUGUUGAGAGCCACAGCCACAGCCGAAGGGGCCCCAGCAAACUUCCAGCUGCCAGCAAACUUCCAGCUGCCGGCUGAUGAUUGGCUCACAGCGGCCCCAGCAACAUCUAGCUGAUUGGCUCCUCUGCGGUGAUGCUCAUUGGGCUGUUUCCCUGCCCUUUCAGACCACGGAGCUGCUCAUUGGGGGACUUUUUUGGCUCCACCCACGUG